rnacentral:rRNA from 5 species
UUAAGUGACGAUAGCCUAGGAGAUACACCUGUUCCCAUGCCGAACACAGAAGUUAAGCCCUAGUACGCCUGAUGUAGUUGGGGGUUGCCCCCUGUUAGAUACGGUAGUUGCUUAGC